UGCCUGUGAUGUGAGAUGAAUAUUUGCUACUCUUGAUGGGGUACUCUCCAGUUGAUGAUCAUAACCACCAAGAUCUCUGAGGCU